rnacentral:rRNA from 1 species
UACGGAGGAUCCAAGCGUUAUCCGGAUUUAUUGGGUUUAAAGGGUGCGUAGGCGGCCUAUUAAGUCAGGGGUGAAAGACGGUAGCUUAACUAUCGCAGUGCCUUUGAUACUGAUGGGCUUGAAUGUACUUGAGGUAGGCGGAAUGUGACAAGUAGCGGUGAAAUGCAUAGAUAUGUCACAGAACACCAAUUGCGAAGGCAGCUAUCUACAGGGAUAUUGACACUGAGGCACGAAAGCGUGGGGAUCAAACAGG